rnacentral:rRNA from 1 species
UACGUAGGGCGCAAGCGUUGUCCGGAAUUACUGGGCGUAAAGCGUGCGCAGGCGGUUUUGUAAGCCAGAUGUGAAAUCCCCGGGCUUAACCUGGGAAUGGCAUUUGGGACUGCAAGGCUUGAGUGCGGCAGAGGAGACUGGAAUUCCUGGUGUAGCAGUGAAAUGCGCAGAUAUCAGGAGGAACACCGGUGGCGAAGGCGGGUCUCUGGGCCGUAACUGACGCUGAGGAGCGAAAGCGUGGGGAGCGAACAGG